rnacentral:rRNA from 1 species
AACGAACGCUGGCGGCAUGCCUAACACAUGCAAGUCGAACGAGCUCUUCGGAGCUAGUGGCGCACGGGUGCGUAACGCGUGGGAAUCUGCCCUUGGGUUCGGAAUAACAGUUAGAAAUGA